rnacentral:tRNA from 1 species
CCAUCGGUGGAUCAGUGGUAGAAUGCUCUCCUGCCACGCGGACGGCCCGGGUUCGAUUCCCGGCCGAUGCA